ensembl:snRNA U6 U6 spliceosomal RNA
GUUCGUUUCGGCAGCACAUACACUAAAAUUGGAAAGAUACAGAGAUUCAUAUGGUCCCUGUUCAAGGCUGACACCCAGACUGGUGAGGCGUUCCAUAUUUCU